GUCGAGAAUAAUUCACAAUGGACGAAAGUCUGAUGGUGCAACGCCGCGUGGAGGAUGAAGGUCUUCGGAUUGUAAACUCCUGUCAUCGGGGAGUAAGACCUGGCGGUAAAUAGCCGACAGGGUUGAUAGUACCCGAAGAGGAAGGGACGGCUAACUUCGUGCCAGCAGCCGCGGUAAUACGAAGGUCCCAAGCGUUGUUCGGAAUCACUGGGCGUAAAGGGAGCGUAGGCGGCGUGGUAAGUCAGAUGUGAAAUCCCGGGGCUCAACCCCGGAACUGCAUCCGAUACUGCCAUGCUUGAGGGUUGGAGAGGUAGCUGGAAUUCUCGGUGUAGCAGUGAAAUGCGUGGAUAUCGAGAGGAACACUCGUGGCGAAGGCGAGCUACUGGACAACAUCUGACGCUGAGGCUCGAAGGCCAGGGGAGCAAAAGGGAUUAGAUACCCUGGUAGUCC
rnacentral:rRNA from 1 species